rnacentral:lncRNA from 1 species
CUCCAGCCGGCCUGCGCACUGGGAGGAGUGCGCACUGGGGUGGAGCCACAGAAGUUCGUGCCUUUUGCAGUGGGGAGGAGCCUGGCCCUUCCUCUUCCUGGGUGUUACCUGGAAUUCAAUCUGCCAGGUGGGAAGCAUGUACUAACGAGACUCUCAGUCUUCCUUUGUGGAGAGUCCCUGUUUCCUUUUCUUUUCCCUUUUCACCCAAUAAAUUCCUUUUUUCUCCCCUUUUAAAUUAUAUGUGAGCCUUUUUUCAUGAUCAUGUGACGAGGACCCUGUCUUUAGCUGAGCUACGGAGAGAGUCCUGCAACACCUUCACGUAGACAUUCUUUCUCUCAGGAACUCAGGAAUGAAAGCUUUGUGGGAACAUCACUUCACAAUCAUUGAAGAAGUGGGAAAGAAACUCUGGAAGUUUCUAGUUGGCAAUUAAGUGCUCUGGCCACACUUCACUUCUGCUCACAACUCAUUGGUCAGAACUAGUCACAAGGCACCAUCCCACCACAAGAAUGCCAGAAAAGUUCAUAGUUCCAUCUGUACAAAAGGAGAAUGGAGCUAUUCUGGAGAGAGAAUGGCAGUGGAUUAAAAGUUCUGAACCUGCCUGGGUCUCAAUCACAGAAACCUGAAACAGCCAUUGGACCCCCAUUGCUAAUCCCUGUGCAGUCUGUAGUCACACCUGGAGUGUCAGCUUUUAUAGGUGGAGGGAAGGAAUGCUAUCCAUGAUGAUGCAAAGCUGCAAACCCCUCAUGAAUCCAUUGUUGGAUCUAUUGCGUCUUCUAAAGGAAGCCUACAGCUGUGCUGUUCAAUAUGGUAUCCACUGGAUAUAAGGGGCAAUGGCCACAUAAAAUUUGGCUACUAAGACUAAAGAAAUAAAUUUUUAAAUUUUAUUUAAUAUUAAUUAAAUUAAAAUUUUAAUAGCCACAUGUGACUAGCGGCUAUAAUAUUGGUAAGUGCAAUCCUACACAAUAGAAAAGAAAGAAUUCUAGUUCCUAGGAAAUCAUUUUUGGCUUUUUAGUGCCUGAAAUUUUUGGCAGUAGAUUGCUGUAUCCCAGUCGGGCUCUUAGAUUUUUCCAGACUAAACAGGUUAAUGUAGAUGAAAGUUUAAGCACAGUCUGUGACAGUGAAGUGGUAUGUAUGCUCACUCAAUUACUUUACUACCAGGGUUGUUAAUGUUACUACACAGACAUCUUUCCUUCCAAAUUCCCUGGCUUUCUAAGAAGUUCACCCACAAUUCUGCAUGUUGGAGAGCAGCUUUGGUGUGAGUUUCUCAUUGCUCUUGGCUCCACUUCACAUUCGACUUCUUUCAGGUAAUGCCUCCCCUGAGUUACCCAUUUGAGUAGAGAGGGGGGCCAGGAUUGCAACCAUAUCCCAUAUCUUUCAUUCAGUCUCUAGAGAUUCAAGGGCUAUGUAAACAGGAUUUCCAUUCAUACUGAAAAUGACUAGGAGAUAAAGCCACAGGCACACAUCACAAAGAAAUAAAGCUGAAUAAAGACGGACAAGUAAUAGAAGCCUAAAGAGUCAACCAAGCUAUUGAAUAAAAUAUAUUCACUAAUCCUGGAGAAAAUACAUGUUUAACAUUCUAAGUUAGAAGACAUGAAGGUAAAAAAUUUGACCAAGGAAUGUGUGAAUCAAUCAGAUUUUACUGGCGCAAGGAAUGUUUUGAAGAGUCAUUUCAACAUCUUAUGUAAUAAUGAAAUGUAUCCAGAGAGAAUAAAGGAGUUGACUCAGAUCACAUGUGUAUGGAAAGAGCUCUGGUCUAUACUGUGGGUCAAAAACGACUAGGCCAGUGGUUUUAAUUGAUACAACAUUUCAUACUUCUUUAAUACUCUGUAGAGAAUGCCACUUACUGUUGUUUCUGAAGUGACCUGAAGGACAGUUGAGAGCCAACCUAAUGUAGGAAUGUCUCUUGUCUCUUUUCCCAGCACGCUCUCCAGAAGGGAAAAUCCCCAAACAAGUCUUCAAAUAUGAGCUUUUCAGCUAUCCAUGAUAGCCUAUAAUUUCAAGCUUUUUAAGGUCAUUCUGGGAGAGAUGUUUAAGAUGAGAGAGUUCUUUUUCCUUUUGAAAAAAGAAACCUCUGGUUUUCCAAACAUUUCAUAAACCUCUGGAAUUCUUUGGAGUGAGCCAGAAGUGGAAAAAGUAACUGAAACUGCUUGGGAAAAAUUAGUAGUAGCUGUUGAAAAGAGCAUUUAUCAGUAAUCCAGACAUCGAAGACAUUUAGACUUUGUUGAACAGGCAGUUUGUGGUGAGAAAUGACUGGUUUAGGGGCAUUGCUAGUCAGGCAACCUGGGCUAGAACUGGCUGGGUUGUGUUGGUUUCCUAGGGCUGUUGUAAUCAAGUACUGCAAAGGAGGUGCCUUAAAACAGUGUAAAUUUAUUAUUUCACAGUUCUGGAGGCUAUAAGUCCAAACCAAGUUUUCUGCAGGGCCAUGCUUUCUCUGAAGGCUGUAGAGGAGAAUCUGUUCCAUGUCUUUCUCUUAGCUUCUGGUAUUGCUGGUAAUCCUUGGUGUUCCCUGGCUUGUAAAUAUGUACAUCAAUCUCAACCUCUGUUACCUGACAUUCUGUCCCACAGUGGUUUCCUCUCCUCUUCAACAUGUGUCAGUCUUAUGCAAAUGUACUCACGCACACAGUGACAUCUAGUGGGUCUGGACAUAGACAGUUGAAUCCUCUUGAAUGCUGGAAUCCCUUUAUGGUUUGACUAUCUCUUUAUUUGAGGAUCAUAAGUCUAUGUGUUUCCAAGGAAUUUUGCUGACACUAUGCAGCUAUCAGCAUGAAAUGAGGCUCAAGUUUAUUAGUAGCUCUGUGAACGUAAUAGAUGGAAACUAUAUUUGACCUGUUUUUUUUUUCUUGGAAAGCCAAUAAAAUUUCACACAAGCCAGGAUGGAACAUGAGACACAAGGCAUUUCCUCCACAUUAGUAUCUUUAAGCCAUAAGAGAGGCAAAGUAUCAUCUGAAAGAGACUUCACAUAUUUGUGUAUAAAGUUUUCUUCAUUAAAUGUGACUCUUAAAUGGAAAAACAAAGAUAUGUUUUACACAGAGUCCCCUUCAACUUUUCUUUGGUCACCCUCUUCCUCCCCGACUGACAGCUUUGUUUUCAUUCGUUGAGAGGUCUUUCUCUUAUCCACAGUGGACGGAUCAUGUUUUCAAGAGCUUCUGCAUAUACAGUCACAAUAAUAGGGAAGUUUAUUGAGAUGUUCAAGUAUGGU